CGGACGGGUGAGUAACGCGUGGGUAACCUGCCUUACACAGGGGGAUAACACUUAGAGAUAGGUGCUAAUACCGCAUGAGCGCACAGCUUCGCAUGAAGCGGUGUGAAAAACUCUGGUGGUAUACGAUGGUUCCGCGUCUGAUUAGCUAGUUGGUGGGGUAAUGGCCUACCAAGGCAACGAUCAGUAGCCGGCCUGAGAGGGUGAACGGCCACAUUGGGACUGAGACACGGCCCAAACUCCUACGGGAGGCAGCAG
rnacentral:rRNA from 1 species